UUGGGGGUUGAUCUUAGUGGUAGACUGUGUGCUUUUCUUGCGCCAUGCCUGGGUUCAAUUCCCAGUUCCAAAA
rnacentral:tRNA from 1 species